rnacentral:tRNA from 1 species
GGGCAAGUGGUGGAAUGGCAGACACGUAGGCUUCAGGAGCCUAUGACCGCAAGGUUGUGAGGGUUCGACUCCCUCCUUGCCCACCA